CUUAAUAUGUAUUUUCGUCAUGGCUCUUGUCCAAAAUAAAUAAGAAUAAGAUGCUUCACUUUCACUUUUUCUAUAAUGUGACACCCUUGCCACUUUUUCAAGUCCUCUAAUACUUCUGACAUGAGUGGUUCUUCUUUCAACAAUCUCUUCAACUUCUUGGUUCUUGCCAAAUAGACCUUUUAUUUUACUUUUGUUUACAUAAGUACGAAUAAACA
rnacentral:lncRNA from 1 species